rnacentral:rRNA from 1 species
UACGUAGGGUGCAAGCGUUGUCCGGAAUUAUUGGGCGUAAAGAGCUCGUAGGCGGUUUGUCGCGUCGGCUGUGAAAACUUGGGGCUCAACCCCAAGCCUGCAGUCGAUACGGGCAGACUAGAGUGUGGUAGGGGAGACUGGAAUUCCUGGUGUAGCGGUGAAAUGCGCAGAUAUCAGGAGGAACACCAAUAGCGAAGGCAGCUCGCUGGGACGUUACUGACACUGAGGCGCGAAAGCGUGGGGAGCGAACAGG